rnacentral:rRNA from 1 species
CCUACGGGGGGCUGCAGUGGGGAAUAUUGGACAAUGGGGGGAACCCUGAUCUAGCCAUGCCGCGUGUGUGAAGAAGGCCCUCGGGUUGUAAAGCACUUUCAGUGAGGAAGAACGCCUGGUGGUUAAUACCCAUCAGGAAAGACAUCACUCACAGAAGAAGCACCGGCUAACUCCGUGCCAGCAGCCGCGGUAAUACGGAGGGUGCGAGCGUUAAUCGGAAUUACUGGGCGUAAAGCGCGCGUAGGUGGCUUGAUAAGCCGGUUGUGAAAGCCCCGGGCUCAACCUGGGAACGGCAUCCGGAACUGUCAAGCUAGAGUGCAGGAGAGGAAGGUAGAAUUCCCGGUGUAGCGGUGAAAUGCGUAGAGAUCGGGAGGAAUACCAGUGGCGAAGGCGGCCUUCUGGACUGACACUGACACUGAGGUGCGAAAGCGUGGGUAGCAAACAGGAUUAGAUACCCCGGUAGUC